CAAUAGCGUAUAUUAAAGUUGUUGCAGUUAAAAAGCUCGUAGUUGGAUUUGUGGCGUACGGUGUGUUCCGGGCACUUGUUGUCUGAGUAACCUGCUGUUGCCAUCCUUGGGUGGAACCUGUGUGGCAUUAGGGUGUCGUGCAGGGGAUGCCCAUCAUUUACUGUGAAAAAAUUAGAGUGUUCAAAGCAGGCUUAUGCCGUUGAAUAUAUUAGCAUGGAAUAAUGAGAUAGGACUUUUUUGCUAUUUUGUUGGUUUGCGCAAAGAGGUAAUGAUUAAUAGGGACAGUUGGGGGUAUUCGUAUUCCAUUGUCAGAGGUGAAAUUCUUGGAUUUUUGGAAGACGAACUACUGCGAAAGCAUUUACCAAGGAUGUUUUCAUUAA
rnacentral:rRNA from 1 species